rnacentral:misc_RNA from 1 species
CAGGCAGAACUGAAGGAGAAACUUAGUCAAUUAUUGAAAGAGAAAUAUGAAGUUGAGAAACUUCUUCAAGAGGAAAGAGAAAUGAGUAUGCAUGAGAAUAAUGCUCGAAAAAAGUUGCUACAUUAUUGCUGGACUCUUUGUAACCAGCUUAAAGAGUGCAACCUCUAUUUGUCUAACAAGGAGGAUAAAUUUAUUGUGGAUUCCUCACAGGCAGAUGCUUUAGAUUUGUUGUCUACGUCUGAUGAUCAAAUUGGCCAUCUACUUGCAGAGGCACAAGCAUUGUUUGAAGAUGGUAAAAUUUCUACAUCUGAGGAUGAUGGUAUGGAGGCAACAGAUCCAGAGUUAAGAAAGAUGCUAGCAGAUAUAUUAACUGAGAAUGCUAAACUACGGAAACAUGUGAAUUAUGUCAUGCGUGUUGCUCUUCGUACCGGCAACACUUCUGGGAAUAGAGAUGAGCCUCCUUCAACAAAAAUUGAUAAUGUAGAAAGAUGAGUGAGUUAAAUAUUGUAUUCUUUACCCCAUAAAAUUUUUUACAGUUUGAUCGUUACUGGUAAUCAAUCGCCUGCUUUGAAUAGCUGAUCUAACCUAAACAACUGUUAAAAGUGUUGUAAUUUUGUGGUUCCACGCACACGCCACAACACCAAGAAACCACCUUUUCCAUACUGUAUUCUCACUAGUGACUAUAAUAGAGAAGAGGGGC